GACGAACGCUGGCGGCGUGCUUAACACAUGCAAGUCGAACGGAAAGGCCCUGCUUUUGUGGGGUGCUCGAGUGGCGAACGGGUGAGUAACACGUGAGUAACCUGCCCUCGACUUUGGGAUAACUUCAGGAAACUGGGGCUAAUACCGGAUAGGAGCUCCUGCUGCAUGGUGGGGGUUGGAAAGUUUCGGCGGUUGGGGAUGGACUCGCGGCUUAUCAGCUUGUUGGUGGGGUAGUGGCUUACCAAGGCUUUGACGGGUAGCCGGCCUGAGAGGGUGACCGGCCACAUUGGGACUGAGAUACGGCCCCGACUCCUACGGGAGGCAGCAGUGGGGAAUAUUGCACAAUGGGCGGAAGCCUGAUGCAGCAACGCCGCGUGCGGGAUGACGGCCUUCGGGUUGUAAACCGCUUUCGCCUGUGACGAAGCGUGAGUGACGGUAAUGGGUAAAGAAGCACCGGCUAACUACGUG
rnacentral:rRNA from 1 species